AGGGUCAAUGAUGAUGUUUAAUUACCUACAUUGUUUGACUUUCCUAUGAGAAUACAACUGUGUCUGAGACCCU